rnacentral:rRNA from 1 species
UACGAGGGGGGCGAGCGUUGUUCGGAAUUAUUGGGCGUAAAGGGUGCGUAGGCGGUUCCGCAAGUCCUGUGUGAAAUCUUCGGGCUCAACUCGAAGUCUGCACGGGAAACUGCGGGGCUUGAGUGUGGGAGAGGUGAGUGGAAUUCCCGGUGUAGCGGUGAAAUGCGUAGAGAUCCGGAGGAAGACCGGUGGCGAAGGCGGCCUGCUGGGCAGUUUCUGACACUGAGGAGCGAAAGCGUGGGGAGCGAACAGG